UACAGAGGUCUCAAGCGUUGUUCGGAUUCAUUGGGCGUAAAGGGUGUGUAGGUGGCGCCGUAAGUCGGGUGUGAAAUUUCGGAGCUUAACUCCGAAACUGCAUUCGAUACUGCGGUGCUUGAGGACUGGAGAGGAGACUGGAAUUCAUGGUGUAGCAGUGAAAUGCGUAGAGAUCAUGAGGAAGACCAGUGGCGAAGGCGGGUCUCUGGACAAGUUCCGUGACACUGAGGCACGAAGGCCAGGGGAGCAAACGGG
rnacentral:rRNA from 1 species